rnacentral:piRNA from 1 species
UGAUAUGUUAAUGGAUGACU